rnacentral:rRNA from 1 species
UACGGAGGGGGCUAGCGUUGUUCGGAAUUACUGGGCGUAAAGCGCACGUAGGCGGCUUUGUAAGUUAGAGGUGAAAGCCCGGGGCUCAACUCCGGAAUUGCCUUUAAGACUGCAUCGCUUGAAUUGUGGAGAGGUGAGUGGAAUUCCGAGUGUAGAGGUGAAAUUCGUAGGUAUUCGGAAGAACACCAGUGGCGAAGGCGACUCACUGGACACAUAUUGACGCUGAGGUGCGAAAAGCGUGGGGAGCAAACAGG